ACCACCUCCUGUGCUUCUCCCUCUCAGCCGGAAAGGGACGUCAGUCCUGGGUUUAACCAGACCUGACAAUUGGAGGAUUUGGUCUAAAAUCCCAGUGCUUGCUUACACCAUUCUUAAACUUCCUUAAAAUCAUCUGUGCAAGAGAUACAAAACAUCAGAAGAUCUGAAAGUGAAGAGCAGAUCAACAAGUGCAAUACUUUAGGAACCAUGUGCAUGUUAGUGGAAGAUAGCAAAAGGACAUUUCAAGCAUAUCUUUCUGUAAACAGCUUUCCAGAGAGAUACUGCCAGCAGAAUGCCAGAAAGAGUUGACAAAUAUUACUUUUACCUGAAUAUAGAAAUUUGUGAAGAGGAUAAUCAAAGAAAUCAUAUAAGAAAUCUGAAAAUACAGCCACCCCUGAGGAAAUGCACAUGGCCAAACAACACCACAGCUGGUCUGGAAGAUUGUCAGGACGAACUGAAUCUGGGGAGAGAAAAAAAAAAAGAGAAAUGGACUACAUUAAUGGAAGGAGGGAAAAAAUUUUACAGUGACCAAGAUCUCAAAAGCUCUAACAGCUAUGCAUGAAGAGCAGGCAAGGAAGUGAAAGCAGCUUUGACAAUAGCCAGGAGAGCAACCAAAGCACUGAGACACUGCACUCUGUAGCACUUGAACAACCAGGAUGAAGAAUACAGCCUAAAUCUGGAAGGAAAAACAAAAACAAACCCCAAACCAAGGCAACUGCCCAUCUGUCCCAGGAAAAAAAUGAGCCCACAGCUACAACACUUGGCCAUCCUUCAGGAAGGAGAGAAUAAAGAUGUUAAGAAUCAACACUUGAAUUGCUGGCAGCAAAUGUUAUUAAUCAUCACCAGGAAUGUUAUUAAAACUAUUCACAAC